CAUCACUCCCCUCCGUCUACGUCCACCUGUCCCCCCCAUCACUCCCCUCCGUCUACGUCCACCUGUCUCCCCAUCACUCCCCUCCGUCUACGUCCACCUGUCUCCCCCAUCACUCCCUUCCAUCUACGUCCACCUGUCUCCCCCAUCACUCCCCUCCGUCUACUUCCACCUGUCUCCCCCAUCACUCAGAGGUCAUUCAGACCUAAACGCGUUUCUAGAUAAUUCUCUGCUCCACGUUCUCCUUUUUCUUCUCUGCUGCUGUUGUUUUUUUCCCUCCUGUUCGUUUUUAAACCUCCACCUUUCAGCCUUUCUUUUUCCAACCCCGUCUCCUCAGCGCCGCCGCUAUCUGCCUCCUCCCUCCUCGUUUCCUCCCUCCUUCACACCCUCGGGCACACGAUAAGGAACCAGCGGGAUUUAUGCUUCCUCUUCCCCUCUCCCUCCGGGAGAGAGCGCCGGACUCCCUCUGUGCGCCGGCCCGAUGGCGCCGCCUAGCGGAGAGCAAACACACGCCGGCGUUGUGUUAACACUUUGCACUUUGUGUAGAAGAUGGUGAGCUUGGGGUGAUGCGCUGCGCGUCAGCACCACGGAUAGCGGCGCUCUGCAGGGCCACAAUCCGGCUGGUUAACCAGGAUGAGAGGAAGCGAGCUGGGAGAGGACCAGGACCAGGACCAGGAGACGACCAGGGGACGACCAGGGGAGGACCAGGAGACGACCAGGGGAGGACCAGGAGACCAGGGGAGGACCAGGUGACGACCAGGUGACGACCAGGAGACGACCAGGGGACGGAAACAUCUGAAGCAGGUUGCACCACCAUGUUUACGCUGAUGCAACAAACUUUUUAUGAAGUGAAUUGAACACAAAAUGUGCCGAUGGUUGAAGGAAGUAAUCUGAUAAACGUUCAUUAUUCUUAUUUUUUUUAACGAGAGCCGAUGACUCAAAUGUACACGUUGAAUCCAUAAUAAAAGUUAAUCCGUGCGCACAAAUGUAGCUCAUUUCCCAGAAAUCAGUUAGUCAGUUUUCCAGAUGUAUAACUGACUCGCUCUGUCCUGACACACACACGCAUGC
ensembl:lncRNA